CAGACCCCUUUUACCGAGUGCCCGAACUCUCCAAGCUGCACAGACCAGGAGAAGUUACGUGUCGUGGGAGGAGAGGACGGAUGCUCGGGGAGAGUGGAGGUUUGGUACCGUGGCUCCUGGGGAACAGUUUGUGAUGACUCCUGGGACAUGGCGGAUGCUAACGUUGUGUGUAAACUACUGGGCUGUGGAUCUGCUGUAUCUGCCCCGGACAAGGCUGCAUUCGGCGAGGGGACUGGUCCCAUCUGGGUGGAGAAAUUGAAUUGCCGAGGGACAGAGUCAUCUCUCUGGGACUGUCCUGCCAAGCCCUGGGGUGAGAGCAACUGUGGUCAUAAGGAAGAUGCUGCUGUGAAUUGCUCAGCUCCCCAGCGCCGCCCUCAGACUGACAGUGGGAG